UCUGUCCCAAACUGGUUUAGGUCAUCUCCAAAUGCUAUGAAGUUGAGCCUGGAUCCCAUAGCAAAAGGAGGACUGACUUCCUUCAUCCUGAAAGAAACCAUGGCAAAUAGAAGCUUACACAUUUGGCAAAGGAGCCUGUCAUCACUAUCUCUCAAGAUUGGAUGCAUGCAGAAGAAUUUUAUCAGCUUCUCAAGGCAGGACAUUCCACAGAACACUCUACCUUUCUGACUUUCUACCUUCAUAUUCCAAUGUCUUAACUACAUACUUUUUUUCCCAAAAUAAUGGUACCCAAACUUUAAUGAGCAUUAAAAUCAUUCACUGUGUUCAUUAAAAUUAGUAUUUCCCAGCUCAAUCUGAAAAAAAAAAUAUGUAAUGGACCUGGGGCUGGACCUAGGAACCUACAUUUUUAACAAUUAUUUCAAGUGAUUCUUUUUGCUUUGGUCCACAAAUAAAAGCCCCCAAUUUUUUUUUAUCUAACUGACUCUUAAAGCCUUUAUCUAACUAUAAAUCCCAGGCAUAUGAAAGACCUAAGAUGAUGCCCAGGAUGCAUUAACACUCAAUUUAUUUCAGUUUACUCCCUUUUCCUCCUUGCUCAAGAUUAUGCCAUA
rnacentral:lncRNA from 1 species